CCUGAGUAGUUAAGGGUGAUUCCAUUAAGUAAGCCUGAGACUCAUAGCUUUUGUUUAGCUAGUGCCAGGAGAGGCUUGGCUUCCCUCACAGGCUGUGCCCCUCCCGCAGGACAGCACUCACCACCUCCCCUGACUGCCUUCCUCCCUCCUGUCUGUGAAGCCCUGGGGCAGAGCCCUGUCUGAAGCAUGUUUGCAUCUCCACCACCAUGCUGUAGGUGUUUUCUCCAGUUCCAGAAGCUGCCUGAAUCUCCCUGUUCUUUGCCACACUGGGUCCCAGGCCUGCUUUUUGCUACCACUAUACGACUGAAACUAUUUUGCUGUAACCAGUAGUUUUCAACCCUGGCACACAUUAAGAUCACCUGGGGAGCUUUUAAAAAAAUUACUGGUGCCCAAGCUCCACCCUGGACCAAUUAAAUGAGCUCUCUGGGGGUGGGGCCUGGACAUCAGUAAUUUUUUAAAAGCUCCCCAGGUGGUUCCAAUGUACAGCAAGGUUGAGAAGCUCUCCAGCAUGCAGCCGGUCUCAUCUGAACACUACCUCUGAACUCAGGGUUCAGCAUCAGAAGGGAGAGGCCAUUUAUCUAUUCUUCUCACCAACCGAAACCUCAUUCUUAAAGACACAGAUUCCAACCCCCAAGAUUGUCAUUGCUCCAGAUGUAUGUGACAAAGGUGAAAUCAAGAACCGAACAAAUGAUACAAGUGGAUGUUUUGUAAGCAGGUGGCAGGAAGAAUG
rnacentral:lncRNA from 1 species